UACGUAGGGUGCAAGCGUUGUCCGGAAUUAUUGGGCGUAAAGAGCUCGUAGGCGGUUCGGUAAGUCGGGUGUGAAAACUUUGGGCUUAACCCAAAGCGUGCACUCGAUACUGCCAUGACUAGAGUUCGGUAGGGGAGUGGGGAAUUCCUAGUGUAGCGGUGAAAUGCGCAGAUAUCAGGAAGAACACCAAUGGCGAAAGCAGCUCUCUGGGACGGUACUGACGCUGAGACGCGAAAGCGUGGGAGCGAAGCAGG
rnacentral:rRNA from 1 species